rnacentral:lncRNA from 1 species
GUACAAAGCAUAGCAGCCUGAGUUUUCUCGUGUUUUUUUUUGCCACGUACAGGCAUCUUCUGAACCUCCCUGCGCACCUCUUUGUUCUUGUGGCACAAACACAUAGCUAAAGAGAAGUUCAAAGAAGCUCGACCCAUUCUCAUUUCUUCCCCCACCCGAUUUCCCCGAUGCAAAUAUGUGUUUAUCUGGUUGAAUGGAAGGGUGCUUGUGCAAGAUGCCGGUGCCGCUGUGUGAAUCGUUUUACAUUUUGGAUACCAUACCACACAUGAAAUGUUUGCUCAUGUGCUGCCAUGGAAAAGUUAGAGUUUUUUUAGUUAUUCUUUGUGUAAUACAAUUACAUUAAAGUUCAAAUUAAAAACCCCAAUCAAGAAUGUGAGCACAGCUGGUAGUUUAUUACAAAAACUCGAAUUUUUCCCGUUACUAAUGAAUAAACCAAGAAGUUCGGUUUGAAAUAACCAAGAAGUUGUACGAUGUUUAUUACAAAACUAGGAUUUUUUUACCCAUACAAAUGAAUAACACCAAGGAGUCUAAAAUUAAAAAACCAAGAAGUUCAAUUUUUUAAAAAUAGAAUAGUUCAAUGUAUAUGAAGAACCCAGAUUUUCCUGGUUACUAAAUAAUAAACCAAGAAGUUCAAUUUCAAAAAACAAAGUUGUUCGAUAUUUAUUACAAAAACUCAAAUUUUCACGUUACUAACGAAUAAACCAAGAAGUUCGGUUUGAAAUAACGAAGAAGUUCGACAUUUACUAAAAAAAACUUCGAAUUUUCCCAUUUCUAGAAAUACACAAAUAUGUUCAAAAAAUUGAAAAAAAUAGAGCGGUUUGAUAUCUAUAAAAAUUCAAUUUUUUCUGUGCUAAAGGGUAGCAUAGUUUUUGGCAUUUUAAGAUGUUUCUUUGGAGCAAUUCGAUUUUAAAAGGAUACCAAGAAUUUUGAUGUACAAAUAGUGAUAACAACCAGAAGUUCACGUUAUAUACGGUGUGUUUCAUAUAAGAAAAAAUGAAUGGAAAAGCAAAGGUUAAAAAAUUUGUUGCUAGAAGUUCAAGUGUUCGGCCCGAGAAAGUUCAAAAAUUCUUGUGAUAGAGGUUGAACAAAAAUACGUGACAGAAGUUCAAGGUGAAAACAGCGGGAAGUUCAACUACUAGAAGGAAUGCAUUUCAGGUGAGAAUUAAAAUAUAGAAAAAUAAAAGAUUAAAAGGAUUGUUGAAAGAAGUUCAAGUGCUAUGUCCGGGGAAGUUCAAAAAUUCUUGCGAGAGGUUCACCUUGUAUUUCCAUGUUCGAAAACACAAAGAAGACAUUUUUUUUGCAUUUUAAAAUAAUUCUCUCAAUCCAUAAAGAAGUUCAGUUAUUAUUUGGGAGCACUUUGAUUUCAAAAAAGAAAAUAAAAAAUUCAAAUUAUAAAAAUGGAAAAAAUUAAUGUACUACAUGAUGUGUGUUUAAUAUCAGAAAAAUGAAUUAAAAGGCAAGAUCCAAUUUUGUUGUUGUUAUAAGUUCAAGUCCUUGGUCGGAUAAAUUUAAAAAAAAAAUUGUGAAAGAGGUUUGUACAAAAGAAAUAUCAUUUAUGUAACACUGACGAAUGGAUAAGAAAAUUACAAACGAAAAUACGACACACAAGUUCAACGUGAAAACAGUAGGAAGUUCAACUACUUUGCUGAAUAAAUUUAAGAUGAAAAACUUUUAAAAUCGUCGCGAGUAUGAAAAAAUGAUCAACAUGGGAAAGUUGCGUGUUUACAGCAGCUUUCCAUCGGUAUAUCACUUGCUCAAUUCCGAUAAGUGGAUGGAGAGCUACGAGCAGUGGAUGGUGAGCUACGAGCAAAAAAAGCACGUGAAAAAACAGAGUGAAGUUCAAGUAGACAUGCCGAGAAGUUCAGGUUCUUCACGCGGUGCAUUUUCGAAUAAUCUGUUUCGCGAUAAAGGCAGAACAAAUGAUCUCGCCAUUUUCAAAAUUACUUGAAAACGCCCAGGAAUCACUGAAAACCAUCAACAUGAAAAAGUUUCGCAUUUUCCUUAGCUUUUCAACGGUAUAUUAUUUGCCCCAUUCCGAUAAAUUUUGUAGAAAUUAUGGUGAAAAUACGUUUUUAGCCAUUUUCAAAAUUGACUUAAAACAGUAAGGAAUUGGGAGAAACAAUAUAUACCAAAAAGUUUUGCAUUUCCUCAAGCUUUCCAACUCCAUAUCAUUUGCUGCAUUCGGACGUAUGGUUAAAAAAAUAGAUCGAAAAUACAAACUCGGUGGAACUUGUACCAUUUUCUAGAUUACUCUUAAACUGUUCCAAAUUAAAAAAACACUUUCUACAUGAAAAAGUAGCGUAUUUUCAUAGGCUUUCCAACGCCAUAUCAUUUGCCUCAAUUGGAUUUGCCGUUUAGAAAUGACAUUGAAAAUACGAACUAGGCUGUUCGGUUUACGAAAUUUUACGAUUUUCCCAAUUAGAAAAUUACUCUUUAACCGUAGGGAAUUAGAGAAAACUUUCAGCAUUUGGAAGGAGCGAUUUUGCAGCAGCUUUCCAACGCCAUAUUAUUUGCCUCAUUCCGAUAAACGGUUUAGAAACGUGAUCGAAAAUAUGAUUCACGUUUUUUGUAUGAAGAAAAAAUGGUUUUUAAAACUGCUCUUAAACCGCUUACAUUUUGCCAAAAAAUUUACUUGGGUCAUGAUACUGAUGUCCAUAGCUUUCCGACGGUAUAUCGCAAGCCCCAUUUGGGCAAUGUUGGCGGAAGUUCAACCUAUCACUGGGAGAAGUUCAGGUCGAACACCUCAGGCAGUAAAAUUGCAAAAAACGCAAUUUCAUCACGACCUGAGAGCAAAAUCCGCCAACGAGCGAGAUUCCUAUUUCAAACUGGUACUUAGUUGCUAAAAAAGUUUCUAGAUUACACUAACAUCAUAUAGAACACGACUAACCAGAAUAAUUCACGGGGGAAGCCACGGUUGCGAAGAUAGCCCGAAGGUCGGGUUCGUACAGAGGGAAGUUCAGGCGCGUUACUCGGGCAGUUCAGGUUGUGAUCAGAAUAUUAUUCUGAUCCCAUGAUCAGAAUAGUGUUUAUGUAUGUAUAUAUAUGUGUGUGUGUGUGUGUGUGUGUGUGUGUGUGUGUGUGUGUGUGUGUGUAAUGUAGGUACGCUCCUUUGAACCAUGAUUGCACAUCGUCCACACGCCUUGAUUCACGUUGAUUCUGUUUUGCACGAAUCCUAAAGAAAUCUGUUAGAAUCUGAGUACCACGCGGGCAUCAUCGUGUGUGUGGGCGUUGGAGAGUUCGCCCAUACGCCCCGCAGCACGUGGUUUGCCAGUUGCGCCGUGUGGGCGAAUUAGUUUCUACCCACACAACCAACUAGUCCACGCGCGUGUGGGCGAACUGCUUCGCCCACACGACACCCGUACGUUGCUGGAUGGCAAUUGCAGAUGCGCGUGCAUGGCAACUAGGUAAACACACAUGGCAACUAUGAUUUGUUGCUAGACGGCAACUACAGUUGCGCGUACGUGGCAACCAGAUAAACACACAUGUCAACUGUGAUUAACCAUACAUGGCAACUAUGGUUGGACCACACGUGGCAACUAGGUAAACACACACGACAACUAUGGUUUGAUUACACGCGGCAACUACCAUAAAUUAGACAUGGCGAGUAUAGUUAACCAAAACAGAGAGAGUUGCCAUGAUUUUACAAUUACAUUUGCCAUCCCUGGUAACUACAUCUGCCAUCCCGGAUGGCAACUAAAUUUUCAUCCCGCGGGUACCUAACGUAGCUGCGCCAGGACGUAUGAGAAUAUUUGAUUCAUGCCACACGUGCAACUAAAUUUUCAUCCCGCGGGUACCUAACGUAGCUGCGCCAGGACGUAUGAGUACUUGUUGAGCGUGUGGCACGAAGUAGCUACGCCCACACGUGUGAGCAGUUCUAAUGUUCGUCCACACAGAGCCCGUGUGGGCCGCCUUCUGCUUACGCCACACACGGUGUGUGGCGGAUGUCUAGUAUGCCACACGUGUGGGAGUUAUCAGGACCCUUAGUGUAUUGCAUGGAUGACACAACCAAAUUGAUAAGAUACUUAGAAACUAGUAUUUGGUCACGUAGCAUUGCUAUUAUCAGAAGUACAAAGUUCACCGACCUUAUCAGGUUACCAAAAGUUGCCAAAGAGUGGCUCACGGUAUUUUGAGAUCGACUAAUGUGAGUAUUUUGAUUAACUUCACAGAAUUAAUCCCUCAACAAAAAAACUUCACAAGAAACAUACGGGAUAUACUGGUACUGUACUACUCCUCACUACUAUCAGAUAUCACUCGUAACAAUUGGAUUACAUCCACCGAUCGACUAAACUAGCAAACUUGACAGUAGCGGAGCCACCAGAGACGAGAAAUUCGGCAGGUCACUCGUCUCCUCAGAUUAGCUUGUGGAAGUAGGUACUCUAAAAGCCACCAAACGAGCGCCGCGGCAGGGACUGUGGCGGCGCCAGAAACCCUCCAGCCGACGCGCGGUUCAACCGUUGUGCUGUGUCGGUGCCACCACGGCCACGCAACCCCGCCACCGCCACUCCAUCCGGAUCCGCCUCUUCUCCCGUAACCUCCUGCACCCCUCCCGCUGCCGCCUCUCCCGAAACCUCCUGCACCUCUCCCGCCGCCUCCAUGGCCUCCUACACCGCAGUACGCGCCAUGAAAGUGUUGGAAAUAUGAGCAAUUUACCAAAUGAUUUUAUUAACAGAAAUAUUAGAUAAAACAUGACUAAUAUAGCAGUGAUAAAACUAGUCAUGCGAUCUGACAGAGAGAAGGUAAAUAACAUCUGCAUAUAUGAACUGUAGCCAAGUUUAUCUAGAGUAGACAGUAGGACAAGUUUCAUAUAUGUAGCAGAACCAAACAUAUGUAGGGCAAACAACAGAACAAGGAUCUGUGGCAGAACCUCAAACAGAAAGGAGAAGGACACAUCCGGGACAGCAGCAGCAGUUGCACUGGACUUGCGGUCGAUGUCCUCACCGGCCAUGUCGUCGAGGAGGUUUUCGACGUCGGGGAAGAAGUCGUCGUCGGAGAAGUAGUCGUUGGAGUCCGUGAUGAAGAAGUCAGUAGUCGCGCGGAGCACUCCCAGAAAACCUUAUCACCCUUCUCCCGUACAGGACUCAAAGAGGUGCGGUUUCGGAGGCCUAACGUCCCGACCUUCGGUGCACGCCGCAAGCCGGGAUGGGGAAGAUCGUACCAGCAGCGUAGUGCUCAGGAACUUGUGGCGAGAGGAGGAAGAGGUUCUGGUGCGUCUCUCUGAGAGGAGCGACCUCCCUUUUAUAGGCGCAAGAGAAGGAGGCGAGAGGCUGCGCCGGAAGCUGAAGGAAACGCGGGAAGACGAAACGAACGGGCAGCAGCCGAAGGGUGCAGCGUUCGUAUUCAAUAUCCACUACAGCAAAAACUUUCCAGCUCCCGAGUGGCCUUUCGUGUACCCGUAGUGCGUGGCAAAAAUUUAGACAUCGGCUCGGCUCAUUCCCACAACCCGCGGCGCGUCGUGACGAGGCGGGCGACGGAGGAGGAGCGUGCGUGGAUGUCCCUCUUGUUCUCAUGCUCAUACAAGUGGGGAAAGAACCUCCCUUAUAAGGAGGUCCAACUCCCACUAAACUAGCAAUGUGGGACUAAACUUUAGUAGUAUCCCUUGCCUUGCACAAGUGGGCUAAGUGGGCCUCUAGGAUUUAUUAGGAAUUUCUGAAAUUGUUAUUGGGCUGGCCCAUAAAUAGAUAAAAUUCCAGCAAUCCCCCACCAGAUCCUAGAGGCACAUAGAAUUUGCCUUUAGUUCCAAAACACUGUUUUAUAUAUCGGUACUGCAGAACACUGUUUUAUAUACCGGUACUGCAGUGGAGACUGUUAAGUUGAACUUCCACCUAGAACUCUAUGCUACACUAGUAAGCAACUUGAACAGUGGACUGGGCCUUGAAAACUGCAAGUUUUCUGCGAAUCUAGCUUCACAUAAAGCCUUGACCGAUACGUGGCUACCGUGGGUUUUCCCCGCGGGUGGAGCUUAUGCGUCAUACUCCGAGACCUUUCAUGAGUUUACUAGAGAGAACACUACUCUCAUAGAUUGCGACGUUUGACAAUCAGACUCAUAUAGGUGUGUUCUUCAAAAGAUGUUCUGCAGGACAACAUCUCUGCUUAAAUGAGCCACUUAGAACACAUUAAGAUAUACAUCAACCUGGCAUGCAGAUUAGGAGAGUAUUGCAUCUUCAUGGAGUGGUAUUGUUGAUAGUAAGGAUACUCUCCUCUCAGUUGACCAACAGCUUGUCUUCCACAUCUAAUUCACGGGAUCUCCGACCACAAAGAAUAGGUUACCACUGUGAACAACUCAUAUUGUGGGUCUCAUACCCAUCUCCCUUGAUGCAUUAUCUAUCACAUUACGUGAUAGACCCUUAGUAAAAGGAUCUGCCAGAUUUUUAGACGUUUGGAUAUAAUCCAAUGCAAUAACUCCGGAGUUUCUCAUUUUCCUGACAGACUUUAACCUUCUCUGAACGUGUCUCGAUGACUUCAUGUUAUCCUUUGAGCUGCUCACUUUCGUGAUCACAGUUUGAUUCUCGCAGUUCAUAAGGAUACCCGGUACAGGUUUCUCAACAACCGGCAAGUCAUUCAAGAGCCGGCGAAGCCAAUCUGCUUCGACCGUAGCUGUAUCUAGUGCUGUGAGUUCUGCUUCCAUUGUUGACCUCGUUAAGAUGGUCUGCUUGCAAGACUUCCAAGAAACAUCGCCACCUCCAUGAGUGAAUACAUAACCGCUCGUGGCCAUUAUCUCAUCAGCAUCUGAGAUCCAGUUUGAGUCACUAUACCCUUCAAUCACCUUUGGGUGCCCGGUGUAGUGAAUUCCAUAAUUCGCAGUGCCUUUCAAAUAACGCAAAACUCUCUCUAGAGCUUUCCAAUGCACAUCUCCUGGUUUUGAGACAAACCGACUCAGUUUGCUAACAGCAAAAGAGAUGUCAGGUCUUGUAGCACUGGCUAAGUACAUAAGCGAGCCAAUAAUCUGAGAAUAUUUCAAUUGAUCUCUAGCAAUUCUUCGAUUCUUUCGAAGUAACACACUCGCAUCAUAUGGUGUUGGAGAGGGCUUGCAGUCACUAUAGCCAAAGUGACUCAAGAUCUUUUCCACAUAGUGAGAUUGAAGCAAUGUAAUCCCAUCAUCAUUGUCUCUCAAUAACUUGAUGUUCAGAAUGACAUCAGCCACUCCUAAAUCCUUCAUCUCAAAACAGCGAGAUAGGAAAUCCUUGACCUCCUUAAUAACAUUUAGAUUUGUUCCGAAAAUUAGUAUGUCAUCAACAUACAAGCAAAGGAUAACUCCCUCGCCCCCACCAUGGAGAUAGUACACACAUUUGUCAGCUUCGUUUACAACAAAGCCUGCAGCUGUUAAAGUUCUUUCAAACUUCUCAUGCCAUUGUUUGGGUGCUUGCUUGAGUCCAUACAAAGACUUCAGCAACUUGCACACUUUUCUUUCCUGACCAUCUAGUACAAACCCAUCUGGUUGUUCCAUAUAAAUUUCCUCGACCAACUCUCCAUUUAGGAAAGCAGUCUUAACAUCCAUUUGAUGAACGAGAAGACCAUGCGAGGUAGCUAGUGAAAGUAGAACUCGAAUAGUGGUCAGUCGAGCCAGAGGUGAGUAAGUAUCAAAGAAGUCUUCACCUUCCUUUUGGGUAUAACCCUUAGCCACGAGCCGAGCCUUGUACUUUUCAAUAGUACCAUCAGGCCUAAGCUUCUUCUUGAAUACCCAUUUGCAUCCUAUAGGUUUGCACCCAUAAGGACGAUCAGUUAUCUCCCAAGUUCAAUUCGCCAAGAUGGAAUCCAUCUCGCUACGAACCGCUUCCUUCCAGUAGUCAGCAUCUUCAGAUGCAUAGGCCUCUGAAAUAGAACUGGGAGUGUCAUCUAUGAGAUACACAAGAAAAUCAUCACCAAAGGACUUUGCAGUCCUCCGUCUCUUGCUCCUAGUAGGAACUUCAUUGUUCUCCUCCACAAGACUUUCAAAGUGUUCCAUCAAAAUGGCAGGUUCGGUAAUUGUAACUGGUUCCUGAUUCAAUGAACUAGGCAUCUCCUGAUUAGAUGAGGUAGCCAUAUCCUUCAUGGGAAAGAUAUCUUCAAAGAAAGUCGCAUCAUUCGACUCCAUGAUCGUAUCGACAUGCAUGUCAGGUACCUCAGAUUUUACAACCAAGAAUCUAUAGCCAAUGCUAUGAAAAGCAUAUCCCAAGAAAACACAAUCCACGGUCUUUGGUCCAAGCUUCCGCUUCUUUGGAAUUGGAACAUUGACUUUCGCCAAACAACCCCAUGUUUGUAGAUAAGAGAGUUUUAACCUUUUCUUCUCCCAUUCCUCAAAUGGAGUUAUCUCUUUGUUCUUUGUGGGAACUCAGUUUAGGACAUGACAUGCCGUCAAUAUCGCCUCCCCCCACCAUGCCUUGGAGAGACCCGAUGUGUCUAACAUGGCGUUAACCAAAUCAGUUAGAGUACGGUUCUUUCUUUCGGCCACCCCAUUUGACUGAGGUGAAUAGGGAGGCGUACUCUCAUGGAUUAUACCAUGUUCCGCACAAAAAGCAUCAAAUUCAUUGGAAAAAUACUCUCCACCACGGUCGGACCUAAGCCUCUUGAUUUUUCGAUCAAGUUGGUUUUCCACUUCAGCUUUAUAGAUCUUGAAAAAGUUCAAAGCCUCAUCCUUAGAUUUCAGAAGAUACACACGACAGUAUCUAGUGGAGUCGUCAAUUAACGUCAUGAAAUAUUUCUUUCCACCUUUUAUCAAAAUGCCAUUCAUUUCACAUAGAUCUGAAUGUAUGAGCUCUAGUGGUGCAAGAUUUCUCGUUUCCGCAGUCGUGUGAGACUUACGAGGUUGCUUAGCUUGCACACAAACUUGACACUUAGAUCCCUUGACAGUGAUGAAACUAGGGAUUAAGUUCAACUUCGCUAGUCGCGACAUGCAACCAAAGUUAACAUGACAAAGACGUGAAUGCCACACAUUUGAUUCACUAUUGUUGCAAACAUGAUUAACAACUUUAUUGCAAACGUCUGACAAGGAUAAACGAAACAGGCCUCCUGACUCAUAGCCUUUACCAACAAAGGUUCCAUACUUGGAUAUUACAAAUUUAUUCGACUCAAAGACAAGCUUAUAGCCAUCUCUACACAGAAGAGAUCCGCUAACAAGAUUUUUAUUGACGGAGGGGACAUAAUGCACGUUCUUCAGCCGCACGAUCUUCCCUAAAGUAAACUUCAGAUCGACCAUGCCAACACCACGAACAAAAGCACAUGAACCAUUGCCCAUCAGCACGGUUGAAGUCCCUGCGGUCUGAUAAGACGAAAACAUGGAAAUAUCACCGCAUACAUGCACAUUAGCACCCGUGUCAAUCAACCAAUCAGGAGAAUGACAUACUGAAAGAAUAGUAGGAAAUAUACCAUACCCAGCAUCCUUCAUGUCAGUGUCUCCAAUGACAACAUUAGCGGUCUUGACGCCUUUCCCAGGAUGACGCUUGUCAUAGGGAUUAGGGCAACUAGGAGCCCAAUGAUCAGGAUCCCCACACAUAUGACAAGCACCUUUCUUCUUAUCAUUCUUCUUCUUGAAGUUCGUGUGUUGCACAGCCUUGUUCUUCCCAUCAAACUUUGCUUUACCAUCAAACUUGCCCUUGUUCUUGAACUUGUGGGGCUGGAAGUUCUUCUUCUGUACCAGAUUGGCACUAGAUCCUCCCUCAAUACCUCGAGCACGUGUGUCCUUUGCUCUCGCCUUUUCUUCCACAUCAAGAGUGCCAAUGAGAUCCGGGACGGAAAGCUCCCGUCUCUUGUGUUUCAGUAAGUUAGCAAAGUUCCUCCACGAAGGAGGAAGCUUAGUGAUGAUACCUCCGACAACAAGCUUGUCCGGUAGUAUACAACUAAAGUGCUCGAGUUCUCUAGCAAAUGACUGUAUCUCAUGAGCUUGCUCAACCACGGAGCGCUCUUCAGUCAUCCUGUAAUUAUAGAAUUGCUCCAUGAUGUACAGCUCUGUGCCAGCAUCUGAGACCCCAAACUUGGCCUCGAGUGCGUCCCACAUAUCUUUUCCAUAAUCAAUUGACGCAUAAGCAUCAACUAUGUUCUCACCAAGAACACUCAAGAGAGCAGCCUUAAACAGAGUAUCCAUUUUCUGAAAAGCUUGUGCCUGUUGAGCAUCAAGCUCUCCUUCAGGUUUGCCAAGAGUGGCGUCAUAGCAACUCAUGGUUUGAAACCAUAAGACUGCUCUCACGCGCCACCUCUUAUAGUGGAUACCCUCAAACAUAGGAGGUGUCAUGGAAGCAGCAAAACCACUUGGGAUAAAUUGCCUAUAAUAAGGUUUUUGGAUUGUUGGAAAUAUGAGCAAUUUACCAAAUGAUUUUAUUAACAGAAAUAUUAGAUAAAACAUGCCUAAUAUAACAGUGAUAAAACUAGUCAUGGGAUCUGACAGAGAGAAGUUCAAUAACAUCUGCAUAUAUGAACUGUAGCCAAGUUUAUCUAGAGUAGACAGUAGGACAAGUUUCAUAUAUGUAGCAGAACCAAACAUAUGUAGGGCAAACAACAGAACAAGGAACUGUGGCAGAAUCUCGAACAGAAAGGAGAAGGACACAUAUGAGACAGCAGCAGCAGUUGCACUGGACUUGAAGAAGUCAGUAGUCGCGCGGAGCGCUCCUCAAAAACCUUAUCACCAGUUUUGGAGGCCUACUGUCCCGACCUGUGGCGAGAGGUUCUGGUGCGUCUUCCAUCGGCUCGGCUCAUUCCCGCGGCGGGGCAGGCGGCGGAGGAGCGCGCGUGGAUGUCCCUCUUGUUCUCAUGCUAAUACAAGAGGGGAAAGAACCUCCCUUAUAAAGAGGUCCAACUCCCACUAAACUAGCAAUGUGGGACUAAACUUUAGUAGUAUCCCUUGCCUUGCACAAAUGGGCUAAGUGGGCCUCUAGAAUUUAUUAGGAAUUUCUGAAAUUGUUAUUGGGCUGUCUCAUAAAUAGAUAAAAUUCCAGCAGAAAGUGCGUGGCCACGCAGAGCAGCACCAGCAACAGCGCGCAGAGCCGCCUCGCCUCGUUGCCUCUCAUGGCGGUCUCCUGUUCCUGUCACUGGCUACACGUACGUACGUACGGUCGAUCACUGGCUGUCCUUGUGCGGAUAUGGAUCGGGGUCUCUUCUCGCUCUCGGUCUCUGCGCUUCCGGCCGGCACGUUGGCUGCGCCUUAUAUGAAGGAGGUGAGACCGUGAGAGGGCCGGGCGGGAAGGUGGCGGGAAACUGCGACCCCUACUUCUUCGCGGAUUGGGGCUUAGGCCUAUUCGUGCUACGUACGCUCCUACCCUAGCCCGGACUCGGUCGACGCGUACAGCGAUAAUAAUACGCGGUGCUUGAUUUACCAUUUUUCCGGUGAAUCCUAACUGUUUGUUUUAGACAAGGGUGAGUCCUAGAUUGUUUUAGACAACGGUGAGUACUAGGUUUUUUUUUUCUAUUUAGGAUCAAACGGUGAGUAGUCUUUUUUUUUUGAGAUGUUUUUUUAGGCAUUUUUUUUAGAUGUAACGGUGAGUAGUCGACACCCUCAACACUCGCUCGCAACAGAUCACGGUGGGCCAGCCCAGUUAGGCAGCGCGCGGUACGUCCGACCCGUCAAAAAAGUUAUUUUUUUUCCGUUCGCUUGCUGCUUUUUUAUUUGUUUAUUCUCUUUCAGAUUUCUUUCUUGGUUUUAUGUUUGUUUGGUGUUUCCAAUUUUUUUUACAGUACUAUGUGAAGAUUUUUCAAUACACGGUGAAUAGUUCUUUAAUAUACCAUGCAUAUUAUUUAAUACACGCCUAACAUUUUCUUUGUAAUAUACAUUGAACACUAUUUAAAAAAUGGUGUAAUAUUUUGAGCUUUUUUAUUAUGUAGUGAACAUUUUCAAAUACACACACUGCACAUUUUAAUAUAUGAUGACAUUUUAUUAAUAUAAACAAAUCUUUUCGAAAAACACAUACUGAACACUUUUUAAAUUUUUUCAUUUUGAUUAGGUUUAUAAGUAUUUAUAUUUUUUAAACAACAUCCUUUAAAAAAGAUAACCAGGGUGAUCCAGUUGGCAAUGGAGUUGGGUGCCCGGAAGGUCGUACUGGAGACGGAUAACCAGGGUGCCAUGCAGGUUCUAACGAAGGACGGACUGGAUAGAUACGAUAUGGACCUCUAAUCAAAGAGAUCAACGAGCUACUCUCAACCAUGGAUGGUGUUAGGGUGAAUUGGGCUAGGCGCAACGUGAAUCAUGCGACACACAUUCUAGCUAGGGAAGGUUGCCUGAAUAAGUUAAGUAAGACUUGGUUUUCUAUUUCCCCGCUCUGUAUUCGUGACAUUAUUGUGGCCGAGGCCGCCUAGGUAAUAAAACGACAACAAGUUCCCCUAAAAAAACAUCCUUUUUUGGGAGAAAAGUCGACUAAAAACUUGAAUAGGAAAACAAAAAACUGCUCACGCCAAGUGUGCCAGCCCAUUUGCCCUUGGUUUUCAAGCAUAGCCUCCCCUAGUUGACGCCCUUUGGAUCUCCAAUUUUGUCCAUGAAACAGUGCGACUACCAUGAGUUAUACAUGUAUUGGGCUAACGAUGAUCGUGAUGUUGUUAGUCAUUCCAGCCCGCGUUCCAACAUUUGGCCCCAACUAGCCCUGGGAGCUACUAUAUGGCACACUUAAGGCGCGAGAGCUAUAUGAAAAAUAACAUAAGCAAAAAAAAAACUCUUAUUGCACGGUUAAACUAGAUAUGCAGAAGGAGUAUGACCGGUCAGAGUGGACCUAUCUUGAGGCCAUAAUGCGUAAACUGGGUCUAUGUAGUUCCUUUGUUGAAGCAGUUAUGAGGGGAGUUAGGAUAGUGUCAUUCUCAGUCUUAUUUAUUGGAGUUUGCACAAGCUGAGUUUACUCCAUCACGAGGUAUAAGGCAGGGGGACCCCAUCUCCCCUGCCUCUUUUUACUUGCAGUUGAGGGCCUCUCUUGUCUGGUGCAGCAUGCCAGUCGUGUUGGGGUCUAGAAGGUAUCCAGCUCCAGCUUGCCCCUACUGCACUGAAAGUUAACUUGUUGCUUUUUACGCAUGAUUGCUUACUCUUCCGCAAGGCAACUAAGGAGAAGGCCGGGGCAUUGGACAAGAUUUUACUCCCUUACUGUCAAGUUUCUGGCCAUCGCAUCAAUAAUGAAAAAUCCUCAAUUUUCUUUGGUAAAAAGUGUUCUCAAGCAGGGGAGAGAUAAAAGAAGCUUUUGAAAGUGCACAAAGAAUCCCUUCAAGAGAAAUAUUUGGGUCUCCCCUCAGAGGUAGGACGAGGGAAGGAGCUCUCUAGCCCUCCGUGUUUCAACCGCCGUCGGAGACUCGCCUUCAACUGGGAGAGCCGUCAAUCGUGACGCUGCAGCGAUCAUGUUAUCCAAAGGGUUAGAAUAAUGACCCGGUGGCGUCGUUACGUGCUGCUGCGGGUUAUUGUUCUGACGAGGCGGGUCCGUCGUGCGCGGCUGAACCGGCGCUGCCGUUCCAGGCGCUUCCACCCGGUUUACCACCGGCUGGUUACUGGUUCCUGCUCCUGGCGUGUUAAAGAGAUUUCUCGCUUCGUAAACCGGGGGCAGACGAGUCUGAUGCCUCCUCCUCAUGACAUCGUUUGAAGCGUUCUGAUCUAGCAUGAGUCGGUAAGACUCCGACUGAAUCCGCUGUGCCUGGGCGUCCAAAGCGGCCCGCUCCUCGGCAAUCCUUGCGUUUUCUGCGUUUAGCUCCUCCUUGGCCUGUGCUAUCUCAUCGCGCAAUUUUGCGAUCGCCGCAUUAUGCUGAUCCCGUUCCGCCGGGUUAACCACCGUUGUUAACAACGCUGUCAGCUUAUCCAGCAAAUCAGUUAAGGCCUGAGCUGGCGGACGCACAGGGCCUCCUGCCCCGGCUGCCGUCACCGCUGCUGAUCCGGAAAUCAAUGCCGCAGCAGUUGAAGAAUGCUGUACCGGCUGUGUACCGGCCAUGAAGAUCGCAUUCGGCGGCUCGCAGGGGUCCGGAAUACUGUCGCCAUCGGAACAGCCCCCUAGCCGACCAUCUUGCAGUUGAUACAAAGACUCGGUCUCACCGGUGGACGACUCAUCAUCAGAGUAAACGACCGUCUCACCACCAGAUGCCGAUUUAUCCUCAGAUUCCGCUCCAUGGAUGAACCCCACGAAGGCACGUUUCAUGGUGGGCUGAGCCCGGGCGGGUCUCGCACGCUGAGCCGUCUCGAUGAUGUCGGUGCAGAUGUCCGGCUCAGGGUCCGGCUCGCCGAUCUUGCCGAUGAAGAUGUGAAUUUCGCCGAAGGGGACCCGAUACCCGUACUCAAUUGAGCCGGCCUCGGGGCCCCAGUCUGCAUCGUUGAUGUAGAGCUUGCCCACGACUCUUGGUCAUCCGGCCCACGGCGUAUCCCUUGAGCCCCUCGAAGUUGCCCUCUAAGAACUUGAAACCAUCGUGCGAUAGCCCCACGGUGGGCUCCACGGUCUGCUAACAAGUCAUACACUUGGCACUUGGGGGCUAAUGUCUAUUUGUUGAAGCUCUUAAUAUCCGCUUUAAGAAACCGGUUCAAGGGAAGUUUAUCUACCACAAAGCUUUGAAGCUCUCAAAUCCGGUUCAAAAUCCGGUUCACGGGAAAAUCUGUUUCCCACAAAACUCUGAAGCUCUCAAUAUCCGGUUCAAAAUCCCGAUUCAAGAAGAAUGUAUCUCUUGCAAAAAGUUAAAGGUUGCCGAAGAGGACCUGUUGCGAUGAUGCGCGGUUCAAACAUGGGUAUCCUGCCUUAUUGGCUUAUCAUAUUAUUGAUCGCAUGGGGGCUUCUGCUUUAUAGAGAAAAGUUAUGAUUACCCUUUGAUCCGGCUUAUAGGGCACAUAAAAAAAUUGGGGGCUUGCUACCCAGGUUAAAGGGACCAAAGAGAGUCUGUUGCAAAAGCACAACUCAAACAUAGGUGCCCAUUGAGCAUAGCUCAGAAAUAUUGCUUGGGGGCUCUUUUGUUCUAAUGAACAAGAGUUGCUAUAACCCUUGUGAUAGGCUUAAAAGUCAGGCUUGGAAGCCAGGUGUAUUCACCUAAAACUCCAGGUUAUCCUGCCAUUUUAAGUAAGCCACUCCGCCCAGGUAUUCCUGGAAUGACCCGCCGAACGUUUGACAAGUCAAUCUUAUGCAGACCCUGAACUUGUCAAAGUUAAAACGACGAUUGGUUAAAGUGAGGUCCAUCUUAUAAGGUUUGUAAAACGGUUUAACUCAGUGGCCUGGCAGCCCGUGAAAAGCCUCGAUUUUCAGCCUGGCAGCCCAUGAAAAGCCUCGUUUUUCGUUUGUUUUUAUUCGACAGAUCUUUUGAGGUUUAUUUGAUGAGGCUUAUAAUGCUUUAUGAUUCACCGGUUUUUAUUAACCCGGCCUGGUUUUUGACUAUAAGUUGCCAGUGUGAGAUAAGAUAAUAUCCAGUGUUUAUUGACCCGGCCUGGCUUUUCACUAUAAGUCGCCAGUGUGAGAUAAGAUAAUAUCCGGUGUUUAUUAACCCGGCCUGGCUUUGUUCUCAAGCCGGCAAUAUAUGAUAAUUACCAGUGCUCAAAUUUUGGGCUAUCACCCUUACUACACUGGCUUGGUAAACCAACAGUGUGAUCAAAUAUCACAGGAACCGGUUUUCAAAACCGGGUUAUAUUAUUCAAAUCUUUAAUAGCCAACAUGGCUGGAUUUUUAUUAUGGUUAUCAAUAACCAGUAUUAUUUUAUCAAUGGAUAUGGUUUAUUCUACAAUGGAAGGAAUAGUCCCGAGUCACUGCAGGCUUACGACCCGGCACUUGUGGGCUACAUUAUUCAAAUUGAGAUUACAUCAAAUAUGCAAGUCCCAUGUCACUGCCAGCAUGCACCAUGGCACUUGGGGGCUAAUGCAAGGUCAUUUUUGCUCACCUUAUUGAAGACCCGACUCAUCACAUUGUAAUGAGCCGGCCCUUGGGGGCUACCAAUUGCUCCUGUCAACAAUUCAAGGUACACAAGUCUUAAUCCAUUAUAUUGAAGGGUCCACUCCUCAGUUGGUAAAGCACAAAGCUCUUAACCUUGUGGACGUGGGUUCAAGCCCCAUGAUGGGAGUUGCAUCAUAUGAUGUUAUUUUCAAUGAAGUAUAUAUAAAGUCCCAGUUCAGUAUUAUCUUACUGAUCCGGCCCUUGGAGGCCACACGUUGCUGUUAAAGUCUACAUGAUCAUAUUUACAAAGUCCCUACUCGUUAUUGCGUAAUGACCCGGCCCUUGGGGGCUAUACUGGUUGACGUUUUUAUGAGCAUGAGGCAAUUACAAGUCCCAGGUUGCUGCAAGCAUGACAACCCGACACUUGGGGGCUACAUAUGUGGAAUAUUCAGUUUUGACUAAUGACUGAGAUGAACAACCUGGAUUUCUUCAAGAUUGCAACAUUUAUAUUGAAGCAAGUCUUAAGCUGUUACUACGCUCCCUUCUUAAGACUUGGGGGCUACAAGUGAUAUACAUAUAAGGGAGGUACGCUUUCAAAGCUGAUGUUAACAAACAAUUAUGACCCGGUGCCAUCAAUAUUUAUAAACCGGCAAGUUUUACAUCUUUAAGCUGGCUGAAAAUCAGAUGAGUAUUUCAAGACUAAUAUUUUUUGUUAAGCAUUGGGAGCUGAAUCAAAUGAAUUAUCCUUCAUAGUAUUUCUCUGUGAGAAACCAAUGUCAGCAAACUGAGUAUGAAGCUGGUCUAUUGACCCGGAUUUUCUAGAAGAAGGCAAUGACAAGGAGUUAAGGAUGAUCAGGUGCCGGCUUACAAAAGUUCUUAAACUGAAGCAUAAUCUGUCAAAAUUGUUCUUGUGUUUGUUUUACAGGACCAGUUUAACAUGGAUAAAUCCAAAUUAAAAUGGGGACUAACAACUGUCGUGGAAUUGUCACGGCAGAUGUCCUAGUGUGAGGACUUAGUCGUGAGGCCAGCACAUCUAUGUGGUAGCUUGAGAGGGGUUGAUCGGAAUCGAGAGACGCAACACAAGACAAGGAUUUAGACAGCUUCGGGCCCCGGAAAACAUCGUCCGGUAAUAACCCUACAUGCUGUUUGUGGCUAGGUCUUAUUAUCAUCACCAGGGAGUCGCCGUAAACUGGCUCUCCUAGUUAUGUCUAACCUUAAGAUUAUUCCUCUCCCCUCUUGGGGUGCCCUGCCCCUCCUUAUAUAAGUUGAAGGGGCGGGUUACAUGUAGAGUCCAUCUCGGACUAAGACUUAGACUAUUCUGACUUCUCUUCAUGGGCUUCUUAACAUCUUGGGCUUCUUAACGUCUCGGACUUAUUAACCCCAGGCGACUUAACGUCUACCGGGUUAUCAUCUGUCGGGUUAUCAUCUGACUUAACAUCUGCCGGGUUACCAUCUGACUUAACAUCUGCCGGGUUAUCAUCUGACUUAACAUCUGCCGGGUUAUCAUCUGACUUAACAUCCGUCGGGUUAUCAUCUGACUUAACAUCGGCUGGGUUAUCAUCUGCCGGGUUAUCAUCUGACUUAACUGUCCCAGCCGGGUCAUAACUCCAGUCGGGUCAUACUGCGGGGUAUAUCCCCGACAGGGCUAGAUGGAGAAGUGCCUUGUUGGAAGCGGGAAAGAAGUCCUAAUAACAUCUGUUAUACAGGCAAUUCCCACAUACUCAAUGCCAAUCUUCAAGUUACCACGAGAUCUCUGCAAGCAUAUAAGUUCUCUAGUCCGCAAGUUUCGGUGUGGCAACAACAAAGGGGAAAGGAAGGUUGCGUGAGUGGCAUGGGAUAAAAUGUCGAUGCUCAAGUACAGAGGUGGAUUUGGAUUUUGAGAUAUGCAAAUCUUUAACUUAGCUCUCCUUGCCUGUCAGGUUUGGCGAGUUAAUUCUUUGGUCCUCAAAGAUUGAGCUCUUUCUUUACCUAUGAAUAUAUUCUAUCCUCGGCAGAUUUGUAAACUAUCAGAGGCUUUUCAAAGCAUCCGCAUGAGCGAGAGAGAAAACGUAAGAGAUGUAGAAUUGUAUUGAAUAAUUACAAUAUUGUGCCAGUACAAGAGGUAUAUAUAAGAGCCAAGCCGCACCUGACCUAGCCCUAUUACAAACCGAGUAGGAGUCCUAAUCCUGUUACAAGUUGUAUUCUAACAUCCCCCCGCAGUGUCAACGGUAGGCUCGGCGAUGUUGAGACUGAAACGAAUGUCUUGAAACGGAGUAGUCGCCAGGCCUUUAGUAAAAAUAUCAGCGAACUGAGCAGAAGUAGGCACGUGGAGAACAUGAACUUGACCGAGAGCCACCUUCUCUCGAACAAAAUGAAUGUCGAUCUCAAUAUGCUUGGUGCAACGGUGUUGAACCGGAUUCCCUGACAUGUAGACAGCUGAAAUAUUAUCACAGUAAACAAUGGUAGCUUGCUCAAUAGGACGGUGCAGCUCUGACAGCAACUGGCGCAACCAAACCGUUUUAGCAACCGCAUGAGCCACAACACGGUACUCAGCUUCAGCAGACGAGUGGGAGACCGCAACCUGCCUUUUUGAAGACCAAGAAACCGAAUUGUUAUCAAGAAAAACACAAAAUCUGGAUGUGGGCCUACGAGUAUCUGGACAACCAGCCCAGUGUGCAUCAGAGUAAGCUGUCAAGGAGGUGGGAGAGGAUUUGUUGAUAUGAAGACCUAAGUCUAGUGUGCCUUUGAGAUGUCAAAGAAUACGUUUGACAUGAUUGUAGUGUGGAAUACGAGGAUCAUGCAUGUAUAAACAAGCUUGUUGGACAGCAAAAGAAAUUUCAGGACGAGUGAGAGUAAGAUACUGAAGUGCACCGGUAAGACUACAAUAAAGAGAAGGAUCAGAGAAAGGAUCACCGUCGGCAGAGAGUUUGGAACCUGUAUCAACAGGGGUACGAGAAGUUUGACAAUCAAGCAUACCAGCAUGAGAAAGAAGAUCCAGAGUGUGCUGACGUUGAGACAAGAAAAGACCAGAGGAGUCACGGAUAACAGCAAUACCUAAGAGGUGGUGAAGAAGACCUAAAUCUAUCAUAGAGAAUUCGUGGCGAAGAAGAGAGAUAAUAUGAUCUAAAAAUUGUUGUGAGGAAGCUGUGAGGAUAAUAUCAUCAACAUAUAAAAGAAGGUAAGCAGUGUUGUUGUUGUGAUGAAAGGUGAAGAGUGAAGUGUCAGAACGGGAAGGGGUAAAACCAAUGGUUUGAGCAUAAGUAGAAAAAUGUUGAAACCAGGCACGUGGUGCUUGUUUAAGACCAUAAAGAGAUUUUUGAAGAAGACAAACAUGAUUAGGAUAGGAGGAAUGUUCGAAGCCAAGAGGUUGUUGAGAAUAGACUGUUUCUUGAAGAGAGCCAUGAAGGAAAGCAUUUUUGACAUCUAGUUGAUGAAUUGGCCAGGAAGAAGAGACGGCGAUGCUAAGGACAGUGCGAAUAGUGCUGGGAUUGACAACUGGAGAGAAAGUCUCAUCAUAAUCGAUGCCGUGUGGCUGAGAGUAACCACGACAUACCCAUCGAGCCUUAUAACGUGCAAGACUCCCAUCAGAAUUAAAUUUAUGGUGAAAAACCCAUUUGCCCAAAACUAUAUUUGUACUGGAAGGACGAAGAACUAACUGCCACGUGUUAUUCUGCAGAAGGGCAUCAUAUUCAUCUUUCAUAGCUGCGACCCAAUUAGGAUCUAGGAGAGCUGAUUUGUAAGAUUUGGGUAGAGAGGAAGGAGAUAAAGAUGCAUGAAGAUUGAGACGAUCUUUUGCAGGUAAACGAAACCCGGACUUGGCACGUGUGCGCAUGGUAUGAUCGUUAGUAGGAGCUGGAACGGGAAUAGCAUGAGCAGGAGGGUGGGGGAAGAUGUGGUGGACGCGUCCGGCGCAGCGGAGGAAGCGGACGCGGGGGAUGGUGGUGAAGACUGCGGCUGCUGGAGGUCUGCCGCGUCAGAGUGUAAUGUGUUUUCCUCUGCCAGGACAGAGGUGAUGACAGAAGUGGUGGCGGCAGGAUCUUCUACUGCGGCUGGUUUCGCUAGAUUGGUCGGCGGGUGAAAAAAGGGAAGAUGAUUGCGAUGAGAGGAACUAGUGGACGGCGCAGGUGAGUUGGAAUCUAAUGGUUGACGCUUGGAAAAGGGAAAAAUGUUUUCAGCAAAUGUUGCAUGACGAGACACAUGAACACGACCACUAACAAGAUCUAGACAACGAUAACCCUUGUGCCCGUCAGAAAAACCUGGAUGGACACAUGGGAUAAAGUGCGGGGAAAGUUUUUUAGGAGAAGUGGAGUAGGAGUUUGGAAAACAAAGACAACCGAAGACGCGAAUGUCGGAGUAAUUUGGAUGAGAGAGAAAUAAAGAGAGUAAGGAGUAGUUUGUGGGUUAACUUUAGAUGGACGAAUAUUGAGUAAAUAUGUGGCGGUGUAGAGUGCCUCUGCCCAGAACAUCGACGGCAUAGAAGUUUGAAUAAGCAGAGUGCGAAUGAUAUCAUUAAGAGUACGAAGAGAACGCUCGGCUUUGCCGUUUUGAGGGGAGGUAUAAGGAUAGGAGAAAUGUAAGAGAAUUCCAUAUUGUAGAAAGAAAUUUUGAUUUUUAAAGUUGUCAAAUUCACGACCAUUAUCACAUUCUAUGAAUCUAAUAGGGAGGAAAAAGUGGACCGAGACAUAGCGCUGAAAGUUAAGAAAUAUAUUAUGAACGUCGGAUUUGUUUCGUAAAGGAAAAGUCCAAACAUAAUGAGUAAAAUCAUCAAGAAUCACGAGAUAAUACUUAAAACCAGAUACACUUGCUAUUGGUGAUGUCCAGAGAUCACAAUGAAGUAAUUCAAAAGGAAAAGUACUAGAGGAUUGAGAGGAACUAAAGGGAAGGUGAACAUGUUUGCCCAAUUGACAUGACUGACACAUAGAAGAAUUAUGAGAAUCUCUAUUACAAGGUAUGGAAAAUUCACUAAGAAGUGUGGAUAACACAUUUUUAUUGGAUGGCUGAGACGUUGGUGCCACAGAUCAACGAAGGCCACCAUAGAUGUUGGAGGAGCACCGACCGGAGCACCAUGGAGAGAAUAUAAAUCAUCGGAGCUAUUGAAUCGAGCGAUCUCGGCCUUGGUCGGGUAGUCCUUCACAGACAAACCAAAGGGGUCAAACUCAACAGAAACAUGAUUAUCAGUGGUGAUUUGGUGAACAGAAAUCAGAUUUUUAAUAAGAGCAGGAGCUACAAGAACAUCAUGAAGAAGCAAAGGCUUAGUUGGGGAUUUGAUUUGAGCCCGACCGACACAGUAAAUAGUAAUAGAGGAUCCAUCACCGAGAGUAAUGGAGGGAAAAGGCGAAGGUGUGCAAGAAGAAAGCAAAUUACUCGAUGCAGACAUAUGACGAGAAGCACUAGAAUCAAAAAUCCAAUCCGUACCUGAGUUCCCUUGUGCAGCAAAGUUGUUCAUGGCUUGUAGAAAAGCAGCUUGGUCCCAGCUCGGAGUCAAAGUAGAGGCCGGUGUCACUAGUAGAAAAAGGGCCAUUUGUCCCGGUUCGUAAGGCCCAUUUGUCCCGGUUGGGGAACCGGGACUAAAGGGUAGGUACUAAAGCCCUAUACCUUUAGUCCCGGUUCUUAUACCAACCGGGACAGAUGGGCCUCCACGUGGCCGCUGCGGCGAGCCCAGGCAGGAGGGCCUUUGGUUCCGGUUGGUAGUAUCAACCGGGACCAAAAGGCAUCCACGCGUCAGCAGCUGGCAGGAGCUGAGGUUUUUGUUUUUUUUGAAAGGGGGUGGGUUUAGGGGUUUUUGGGGGGUUAAUUUAGGUGUUUCAUAUAUUGUGUUAGCUAGCUAAUUAAUAGAGAUAAGUGUCCUCUCUUAUCUCCGUGCUUGGUCGACGCUACGUACUAUACGUAUAGAGAGGACUCGACACGCUAGCUAGUAAGCAAAUGAAGGAAACCAUUAAGUACAUAAUAUCGUCAUGAACAUAUGCAUACAGAGAGAAGUGAUACCGACCUCUCCUUCUCCGAGAGAUUUGGUCGAACAACAAGUUUUCGUAUAUCUAUGCGACGCUACUAGCUACAUAUAUACAAUAUAAGAUCUCUUACAACAUAAUCCCCUAAUUAUAUGUGAACUCAGGCUCCACAUGGUAUUCUCCGUCUUUAUUGAUCACGUGGUCAAGAAAGAAUCCCACCAAUUCCUCUUAAAUUGCUCGCAUGCGAUCUUGUGCUAGGAGUUCAUCCCACAUCUGAAACAUCUAAUUUGAAGAAGGGGGUCAAUACACAUAUAUGAAUGAAUGAAACUCAACACAAAUGAUGGUAAUGAAAUAAAAUUGUGGAUAUUAUUGCUUAUGCAAUUCAUAUUGUUUUUUAGAGUAGCCCCGCUCACAGGUCGUGUGGCGGAUGGACUCGCAAACGUAGUAUCCACAGUAAUUAUUCCCGGCUUCCUGCCACAACCACUUUACAAGAAAUAGAGGUCAAUCAAACUGAUAAGCAAUCAUGCUAAAUGGUAUUGAUGAAACUAGCGCUUGAAUCACUAGGAGAUGCGCGGAACUAGCUAGUAGUACUUACUUUCAGGUGUGUAAAUCGCAGCUUCCCCGGCAGUCCCGGAGCUUGUGCGGUGAAUUUUUUCCAAACCCUGCCAUACAAAGAAAAAAAUUACUUGAUAUCAGGAAAUGAACAAAGUUGCCGAUAUGGUGCGAUAAUAAUCGAUUUAACUUACUCCUCGAGCAUUUCAGUCAUGUCCGCAUACUCCUGGGGAUCUUUUCGUCUCGAGUCUAAGACAAUUACUAGUCCCUGCUCAAGCUUAAUCUCUAGGAGAAUAUAGUGGAACCUGCACACGCAUGCAUAACUCAUCAAUUACAUUACUCUAACCUCGACUAAUAAGGAAAACCGAAUAUGCACAAGACAGUAACACUCACUUGAAGUUGUAAGGAAAGAGUAUUAUAUCUUUGUUUUGAUUUAUUACCAACGAUCGUAGCAAGUUGGCCUCGGUAUCUUUGGCAUGAAAUUUAACCGUAAAUGCAACUAUGAGAUUUGUGUUAAUGAACCCAAUAUCACCGAUUUGUCUUUUCUUCAAUUCGGCGAUCUUCAAUCUGCAUAAUAUAGUGAGGAUAAUUAUAUAUACAUGCAAUGAAAGAGUUGAGCUAUAUAUAGAGACUUAAUGACAGAAGUAGUACUUACAAACAGUAGCAAGUGACUGUUAAUUUAUCGAGGGCCUUUUGAUUGAAAAACUGGAAGAACUCCUCAAAUGGAACAGACAACAGAUCAAUUCCAACGAGGUCAUGCUCCUCCUUAACUCUCAGCGUCAAAGUAUCCUUCCCCCCAGGCUCUCUGUAGGUUUUCAUGUACCAAUCAUGGAAUCUUUGCAUCAUCGUUGUUAGAGAUCUUUCAUCUUUGACGAGAGGCUUCCCGUAAUGGUAUUUGUGUUUGUCCACCUCCAUUGUAUCAUAAUGUACAUCGUCGGGCAGGUAAUCUCCAAGAUUGGUACCGGGCAAAAUCUCUGGAUGAUUAGCGACGAUAUCGCUAGACACCUUGAGCGGGGGGCACGAUUGGUUCGCUUGUUCGCCGAGCUGGGCAAUUUUUUUCCCAGUUCGUCGUUCUGCUAACCUUUGAUCACUGAUAGUACUUCCCGACCGCUCCGCUUCAUAUAUGACCUUUGAAUAAUGCGGUCAUAGUUGGAUUGCGGCUGAGAAGGUGGUGGUCACUUCAGGGCAUCGAUAGUGCGCUUCGCUUUCACCGGAUCUAUCUUCUCCUCCGGAGGUGGAUGUUUCUUUGCUUUCACCGCUUCAAAGAAGUCCCUCACUUCAGCUUUCAUGAUCUUUGUGUUUUCCUCCAUGGUCCUCUCGUAUGGUAACUUCUCUAGAGGCUUGAGAGAUGGACCGAAUCUGUAUUGCCUCCUGCCUCUGGCUGUACUACUAGAUGCCGGAGCAGACGGAGCGGCUGCGGCUGUCUUCUUUCCUUGCUUACGAGGCAGAGGAGAAGGACUACGAUGCACCGGAGCUGCCGGAGCAGUGGCGGGUCUCUUCCGCCCUUGCUGACGAGGCGGGGAAGGAGGAGGCUGGCUGCUCGGGCACGCCGGCGCAGGCGGAGAAGGAGGCGGAGUGCCGCCACGCGCCAGAGAAGGAGGCGGAGUGCCCUGAUCACUCGCCGGAGGAGGAGGCGGAGUGCCCUAACUCGCCGGAGGAGGAGGAGGAGGCAGAGGCGUCUAGUUAGGAAGGUUGAUGAGCUCCUUCCGCCAUAGGCAUGGAGUCUUCAGAGCAGAACCCAGCUGAGUCUCCCCUUCACCGGUAGGGUGGUAAAGCUCGAGGUCCUCAAAUCCCUCCGUUAUUUCAUCCACCGUCACCCUAGCAUAUCCUUCUGGAAUUGGACGACGGUGAAAAGUUACGUCGGGUUCAGGAGGUCAAACAGAGCCGACAGGCGCCUUGACUUUGAAUUGCUGCCAUUGCGUCAUAAGGUGGCAAUGUUGAGACUCCGUGAUAGCAUCCACGGGGUAGCUAGCAGGAGCCCUGAAGACAGGCUCCUGAAGCAGCUCGGUGGAAGCCAUGCUACUUCUCCGCUGAGAUGGCGGGGUAGCUUCGGCAGGUCGCUUGCUGCGAACUGCUUCUCGUUCCUCUAGCGCUUCUACCCUUGCGUGCAGCACCUACAGUUGGGUCUGCUCCACUUUCUUCCUCCUCUCCUAGCAUUUGUAACCGCCAGCGUCCGGAAAUCCAGCCUUCAAUGGAACGGAGCCUAGUGUGCCUCGUGUCCGUCCAGGGUGCUCAGGAUUCCUGAGGGCCAUUGUGAGCUCGUCGUUCUUUCUGUCUGGAACGAACGUCCCUUGCUGUGCUGCAUCGAUAUACUGCUGAAGCUUCUUGACGGGUAUGUCAAGUUGGUCGUUCGUCCAAACACACUUCCCUGUUACAGGGUCCAAGGUUCCGCCAACCCCGAAGAACCAAGUCCUUGAACGGUCUGGCCAGUUCAAUGUCUCUGGUUCGACCCCUUUAUCAAGCAAGUCAUUCUCAGCCUUGGCCCACAACGGCCGGGCUUUGAGGUAGCCACCUGACCCCGUGCGAUGGUGAUGCUCCUUCUUCGCAUCAUUUAUCUUGUUUGUUGCUGACAUCUUCUUACUCUUGUCCGAUGCCUGGUGGACCACAAAUGCGUCCCAGUGAUCUCUGAUCUUCUCAUACCUGCCGGUGAAUUCUGGUGUCUUUUCUUUCUCGACAAACGUUGUUUUCAGCUCAGUCUUCCACCUCCUGAAUAGAUCCGCCAUCUUCUUAAGAGCAUGAGCAAACCAAUGGCUCUAUAACAGGCUUCUCCGGAUCCUCCUCUGGCAGUAGGGUGAAAUUUGCCUUCAGGUCAGUCUAAAGAUCAUCUUUCUGCCUAUCGUUAACAUAAGACACCUCAGGGUCUUCCUUCUUAGGCUUAUACCAUUUGUGGAUGCUGAUCGGGAUCAUGUCCCUAACAAGAACCCCGCACUGAGCAGAAAAUGCUUGCUUGGUCCGGAUGGGUUCAAUCGGUUGGCCAUCACGCGCGAUUGCUAUGAUCGUGAACCUUUCAUCUGAGCGCAACUUUUUCUUCGGGCCUCGUCUCUUUAACAAAGUUGUGCUCGAUACGGAGGGCUAGAAAAAAGAACAAAGACGAGAGUUAAUAUGUGUACAUACCAAAACAAUGAAUGCAUCAAUCAGCUAGUCAACACAGGCUUAAUUAAUAUAUAUACCUGGUCAGACUCUGUUCGGUCACCAAAGCCGUCAUCACGGUCUCCUUCUUGCACCGGCAUUCGGUCACCGGAGCCAUCAUAAUCAUGUCCCUCCCCCUCCAUUGUUUCGAUCACCGUAGCCUGCUUCUUCACCCUGUCCUUCUAGGCCAUCGCUGUCGUUAAGACACAACAAGACAUCAGCUCCGGCUGCGAUUAUGUCCCCCAACACCUGUUCUGCUUCUUCGUCUCGUCCGUGCUCCAUUGUUUCUGCAAAUAUUACAACAUGGCAAUUAUUAUACAAACAUGACAGUAGGUGGAUAUAUUAGUGGCAAACAUAGACCUAGCUACCUAAUCACAACAAGGAAUCAUAUUAGUGGCCUCAACGCUUCUCUAGGGUUUGGGGUGGCCUCGGCAACGCUUAUAGGGUUCGGGGUGGCCUCGACGACAAUGCUCUUUUAACUUGGUAAAUUUGGGUGGCCUCGGCAGCGCUUCUAGGGUUUGGGCCGGACCGCCUCUCUCAUGAUUGUCCGACAUUCGGACCGACAAGGGAUUUAACAAAAUGGCGCCAUUCUGGAUGUGCAGAAAAUUGUCUAGUGUCAAAGGAUUCAACAAAACCAUGUCUUCAUUAUUAGGUGAAAAUAACAGGCGCAUGGUGGUACGAAGUUCUCCAAAGUUGUUGUAGAACGGAGUCCCGGAUAGGAUAAUUCGUACAAAAAGACAAAUUAUCCUAUCUGGGACUCCGUUCCAGAAUAACUUUGGAGAGCUUCGUACCAUCAUGCCCCGGUUACUUCCGGCUAAUGAUGAAGCCAUGGAUUUCUUCAAUACUUUGACACUAGGCAACCUCUCGACCCCUCAGCGAUCCUCGACCCUCGACCCUCGACCGCUCGGCGAUCCACGAGCCUCUAACCUAGUUCCCGACCCUCGACCCCCUCAUGUCACGUUUGUCUAAUGUCAAAGGAUUCAACAAAACCAUGUCUUCAUCAUUAGGCGAAAGUAACACGCGCAUGAUGGUACGAAGCUCUUCCAAGUUGUUCUGGAAUGGAGUCCCAGAUAGGAUAAUUCGAUUUUUGGUACAAAGUUCAGCAAGAGCCUUCCGAAUAUCGCUAUUUGGAAGGCCUUUGCUGAAAUUCAUACCAAAAGGCGGAGUAUCCUAUCCGGGACUCCGUUCCAGAACAACUUUGGAGAACUUCGUACCAACAUGCCCCGGUACUUCCGGCUAAUGAUGAAGGCAUGGAUUUCUUCAAUACUUUGACACUAGGCAACCUCUCGACCCCUCGGCGAUCCUCGACCCUCGGCCCCUCGAUGGCCCUUGAUCCUCGAACCCUCAACCCCUCGACGACCCUCAAACCCUCGACCCCUCGACCCUCGAACCCUCGGUGACCCUCGAACCCUCGGCAACCCUCGACCCUCUACCCUAGCUAGUUCUCGAACCCUCGGCGGCCCCCUCCCCCCUCAUGUCGAAGUUAUCGGGAAGGGGGUAUAUCGACCCCCCCCCUCAUGUUGAAGUUAUCGGGAGGGGCUAUAUCGACAACGACAUACCCGAUAAAAAAUAAGAAGAGGAAGAAGAAGAAAAAAAAGAGGAGAAGAAGAAAGGAACAGAGGAGAAGAUCAAAGAAAAAAAAGAAGAAAAAAAGAGGAAAAGAAGAAAGGAAUAGAGGAGAAGAAAUAAAAAAUAGAAUAAAAAAGAGGAGAAGAAGAAAAAAUAGAAUAAUAUUAUUCUAUUUUUUAUUUCUUCUCCUCUAUUCCUUUCUUCUUAUCCUCUUUUUUCUUCUUCUUUUUUUCUCUUCUUAUUUAUUUCUCCUCUUCUUCCUCUCCUCUUCUUCUCCUUCUUCUCCUCCUUCGUCCUCUUCUUAUAUCCAUACAUACAUAGCCACAUGCAUCCAUACAUAUAUGAAAAAAAUUAAUAUCUACUAAUUAACAACCUAAAUAAAAAAAUUAAUACAUAUAAUUGCUAUGAACAUUAUAUCCAUACAUACAUAGCCACAUCCACACAUACAUAUAUCCACAUGCAUAUAUACAUUAUAUAUAUGAACAAAAAAUAUCAUCACAAAAAAUCGCAUAAAAAUUUGACAAGUGUGGCGGCUCACAGAGGGGGCGCACGGUGACGGCGGCGACGGCACGGUGACGGCGGGGNNNNNNNNNNNNNNNNNNNNNNNNNNNNNNNNNNNNNNNNNNNNNNNNNNNNNNNNNNNNNNNNNNNNNNNNNNNNNNNNNNNNNNNNNNNNNNNNNNNNNNNNNNNNNNNNNNNNNNNNNNNNNNNNNNNNNNNNNNNNNNNNNNNNNNNNNNNNNNNNNNNNNNNNNNNNNNNNNNNNNNNNNNNNNNNNNNNNNNNNNNNNNNNNNNNNNNNNNNNNNNNNNNNNNNNNNNNNNNNNNNNNNNNNNNNNNNNNNNNNNNNNNNNNNNNNNNNNNNNNNNNNNNNNNNNNNNNNNNNNNNNNNNNNNNNNNNNNNNNNNNNNNNNNNNNNNNNNNNNNNNNNNNNNNNNNNNNNNNNNNNNNNNNNNNNNNNNNNNNNNNNNNNNNNNNNNNNNNNNNNNNNNNNNNNNNNNNNNNNNNNNNNNNNNNNNNNNNNNNNNNNNNNNNNNNNNNNNNNNNNNNNNNNNNNNNNNNNNNNNNNNNNNNNNNNNNNNNNNNNNNNNNNNNNNNNNNNNNNNNNNNNNNNNNNNNNNNNNNNNNNNNNNNNNNNNNNNNNAAAGGGUGGCACAGCGGUGGUGUGGUGGGAGUUUAGUCCCACCUCGCUUGCUGAGAGAGCUCAGCACCUGUUUAUAAGCUGCGUUGCGGCUCAGGUGCUGAGCUCCUCUCUAAUAUGCAGGCAGUACUUGCCUACCCUUGUCACUGCAAUGUUGGGCCUAUUGGGCAUGCGGGCCUGCAUCCUGGCCCAUGUACAGAUGAGUUUCUAGUCGUAUGCAGGCCGUGUGGCCCAGUAGGCGGCAUUUUUUUAAUUUUUCCAGUAUUUUUGUUUUGUUUUUUGAAUUAUUUAUUUUCUUUUGUUUUUUGCUUUAUUUUUUAAUUCUUUUUGCUUUUAGGUCAGAAUAAUUAUAAACUUUCUCUUAGUGCCAUUAGUUUCCAAAUUUGAAUAGUUUAAAUUUGAAUUCUUUGAAAUUUGUGUGAAUCACUAGUUCGUGAAUAACUUCACUAUAAAAAUAUUUUUUGAGUGAUUCUUUUUCCUACUAUUUAAUAUUACUGCGUUUUAUCAUUAUAUUCAAAAAUAGAUUUUGUUAUUUUAGUUUCUAUCAAAAAAAUUCUUUAUGAAAAUUCUUUUUGCAAUUAAAGUUUCUAACAAAACAUUCUUUAUGAUAAUUCUUUUUGCUUUUCAUGUUUUGAAUAAAAAAUACUUUGAUAAAUUUAGUUGCAUAAAUUUUAUAUAAUUUUAGUUUAAAAAAUCCUAGAGGUUUAUAAAAGCUUUUUAGUUGUUUCCUUUUGCUAUUAGAGUUUUAUAAAAGUUUUUUAGUUGACUUUCUUUUUGCUAUUGAAGAAUAUUAUAGUUUUGUUUUAGUUGAUCAUAACAGAAUAUUUUAAUUGAUUAUUUUUAGUUCAUUCUUUUAGCUAUUAGUUCAUUUUUUCCUAUUAGUUCAUUUCUUUUUUAUAUCAGUUCAUUCUUUGAGCUAAAUGACCCCAAAAUUGAAAAGCACUACAAAUGAACUCUGAAAAGGUUGAAAGUUGGCAUGGUAUCAUCAUUUCACCCACAUAGCAUGUGCUAGAAAGUUGAGAGGGUUACGGGAAAAAUUGGAUGCACUUCGUGUACAAAAUGGAUAAUCUCUUUCGAAUUAUCAGGGUUUCGGACGAAAACUCAUCUGUUACAAAGGGAUUUCAUUUUUUUGAACUUAUUCGAACUCCAGACUUUUUGUGUGUUCAAAAUGCACGAUUCAAAGCCACAUCAUGAAUUUUCAACCCUUUGUGACUUUAUUUGUUAUUUUUCAUGCAUUUACUGAUUUUUUUUGAGCUAAAUGACCCUGAAAUUGAAAAGCACUACAAAUGAACUCUGAAAAGGUUGAAAGUUGGCAUGGUAUCAUCAUUUCACCCACAUAGCAUGUGCUAGAAAGUUGAGAGGGUUACGGGAAAAACUGGAUGCACUUCGUGUACAAAAUGGACAAUCUCUUUCGAAGUAUCAGGGUUUUGGACGAAAACUCAUCUGUUACAAAGGGUUUCAUUUUUUUGAACUUAUUUGAACUCCAGACUUUUUGUUUGUUAAAAAUGCACCAUUCAAAGCCACAUAAUCAAUUUUCAACCCUUUCUGACUUCAUUUGUUAUUUUUUUCAUGCAUUUACUGAUUUUUUGAGCUAAAUGACCCUGAAAUUGAAAAGCACUACAAAUGAACUCUAAAAAGGUUGAAAGUUGGCAUGGUAUCAUCAUUUCACCCAAAUAGUUUGUGCUAAAAAGUUGAGAGGGUUACAGCACUACAAAACGAACAAUCUCUUUCAAAGUAUCAUGGAUAUUCUAGAUCAAAGGCAUCAUCAUAAUAGUCGUGGAGAGAAAGUCUUCACUUUUUCUUCGCUUCUGCCCUUUGCUUAUUGCGCCGUAACCAUGGAUAAUCUUCAUUGUUUAACAAGGUGCUUGGGUCAGCAUUGACUUUGAAGGGAGGAAUUUCAUGAAACUUUUCAUAAUCUUCGGACAUGUCUGUCUUGCCCUCCACUCCCGCGAUGUCUCUUUUUCCUGAAAGAACUAUGUGGCGCUUUGGCUCAUCGUAUGAUGUGUUCACUUCCUUAUCUUUUCUUUUUCUCGGUUUGGUAGACAUGUCCUUCACAUAGAAAACCUGCGCCACAUCAUUGGCUAGGACGAAUGGUUCGUCUGUGUACCCAAGAUUGUUCAGAUCCACUGUUGCCAUUCCGUACUGUGGGUCUACCUGUAUCCCGCCGCCUGACAGAUUGACCCAUUUGCACUUAAACAAAGGGACCUUAAAAUCAUGUCCGUAGUCAAGUUCCCAUAUGUGCACUAUGUAACCAUAAUAUGUGUCAUUUCCCCUCUUGGUUCUUGCAUCAAAGCGGACACCGCUAUUUUGGUUGCUGCUCUUUUGAUCUUGGGCGAUCGUGUAAAAUGUAUUCCCAUUUAUCUCGUAUCCUUUGUAAGUCAAUACAUUCGAAGAUUGUCCCCUUGACAACGAGUACAGCUCAUCACAAACAGUGUUGUCACCUCUGAGACGUGUUUCCAACCAACUUCCGAAUGUCCUGAUGUGUUCACAUGUAAUCCAGUCGUCAUACUGCUCCGGGUGUUUGGAGCGCAGACUGUUCUUGUGUUCAUCGACAUACGGGGUCACCAAGGUAGAGUUCUGUAGAACUGUGUAGUGUGCUAGAGACCAAGAAUGUCCGUCCCUGCAUAUUAUUGAGUCCCCUCCAAGCGUGCCUUUUCCAGUCAGUCUUCCCUCAUACCGCGAUUUAGGGAGACCAAUCUUAUUAAGGCCAGGAAUGAAGUCAACAAAAAAUCCAAUGACAUCCUUUGUUUGAUGGCCCAUGGAGAUGCUUCCUUCUAGCCUAGCGUGGUUACGGACAUAUUUCUUUAGGACUCCCAUGAACCUCUCAAAGGGGAACAUAUUGUGUAGAAAUACGGGGCCCAGAAUGACAAUCUCGUCGACUAGAUGAACUAGGACGUGCGUCAUGAUAUUGAAGAAGGAUGGUGGGAACACCAGCUCGAAACUGACAAGACAUUGCGCCACAUCACUCCUUAGCCUUGGUAUGAUUUCUGGAUCGAUCACCUUCUGAGAGAUUGCAUUGAGGAAUGCGCAUAGCUUCACAAUGGCUAAUCGGACGUUUUCCGGUAGAAGCCCCCUCAAUGCAACCGGAAGCAGUUGCAUCAUAAUCACGUGGCAGUCAGGAUACUUUAUGUUCUGGAACUUUUUCUCUGGCAUAUUUAUUAUUCCCAUUAUAUUCGACGAGAAGCCAGAGGGGACCUUCAUACUGAGCAGGCAUUCAAAGAAGAUUUCCUUCUCUUCUUUGGUAAGAGCGUAACUGGCAAGACCUUCAUACUGCUUUGGAGGCAUGUCGUCCUUUUCGCGCAAACGUUGCAGGUCCUCCCGUGCCUCCGGUGUAUCUUUUGUCUUCCCAUACACGCCCAAGAAGCCUAGCAGGUUCACGCAAAGGUUCUUCGUCACGUGCAUCACGUCAAUUGAAGAGCGGAUCUCUAGGUCUUUCCAGUAGGGUAGGUCACAAAAUAUAGAUUUCUUCUUCCACAUGGCUGCGCGUCCCUCAGCGUCAUUCGAAACAGAUAGUCCGUCGGGACCCUUUCCAAAGAUUACGUGUAAAUCAUUGACCAUAGCAAGUACGUGAUCACCGGUACACAUGGCGGGCUUCUUCCGGUGCUCUGCCUCGCCUUUGAAAUGCUUGCCUUUCUUUCGACAUUGAUGGUUGGUCGGAAGAAAUCGACGAUGCCCCAAGUACACAUUCUUCCUGCAUUUGUCUAGGUAUAACUUUCAGUAUCAACUAAACAGUGCGUGCAUGUGUGGUAUCCCUUGUUUCUCUGUCCUGAAAGGUUACUGAGAGCAGGUCAAUCGUUGAUGGUUACAAACAGCAACGCAUGCAGGUCAAAUUCCUCCUGUUUGUGCUCAUCCGACACACGUACACCUUUUCCAAUCCACAGCUGUAAAAGUUCUUCAACUAAUGGCAUUAGGUACACAUCAAUGUCGUUGCCGGGUGGCUUAGGGCCUUGGAUGAGAACUGGCAUCAUAAUGAACUUCUGCUUCAUGCACAUCCAAGGAAGAAGGUUGUACAUACAUAGAGUCACGGGCCAGGUGCUGUGAUUGCUGCUCUGCUCCCCGAAAGGAUUAAUGCCAUCCGCGCUUAAACCAAACCAUACGUUCCUUGGGUCACCUGCAAACUCAGCCCGGUACUUUCUCUCGAUUUUUCUCCACUGUGACCCGUCAGCGGGUGCUCUCAACUUCCCGUCUCUCUUACGGUCCUCACUGUGCCAUCGCAUCAACUUGGCAUGCUCUUUGUUUCUGAAUAGUCGUUUCAACCGUGGUAUUAUAGGAGCAUACCACAACACCUUCGCAGAAACCCUCUUCCUGGGGGGCUCGCCGUCAAUAUCACCAGGGUCAUCUCGUCUGAUCUUAUACCGCGAUGCACCGCAUACUGGGCAUGUGUUCAAAUCCUCGUAUGCACUGCGGUAGAGGAUGCAGUCAUGAGGGCAUGCAUGUAUCUUCUGCACCUCCAAUCCUAGAGGGCAUACGACCUUCUUUGCUGCAUACGUACUGUCGGGCAAUUUGUUAUCCUUUGGAAGCUUCUUCUUCAAUAUUUUCAGUAGCUUCUCAAAUCCUUUGUCAGGCUCAACAUUCUCUGCCUUCCACUAUAGCAAUUCCAGUACGGUACCGAGCUUUGUGUUGCCAUCUUCGCAAUUGGGGUACAACCCUUUUUUGUGAUCAUCUAACAUGCGAUCGAACUUCAACUUCUCCUUUUCACUUUCGCACUGUGUCCUUGCAUCAACAAUGACCCGGCGGAGAUCAUCAUCGGGCACAAUAUCGUCUGGUUCCUCUUGAUCUUCAGCAGCUUCCCCCGUUGCAGCAUCACCGUAUUCCGGGGCACAUAGUUGUCAUCGUCCUCUUCUUCUUUGCUGUCUUCCAUCAUAACCCCUAUUUCUCCGUGCCUGGUCCAAACAUUAUAGUGUGGCAUGAAACCCUUAUAAAGCAGGUGGGUGUGAAGGAUUUUCCGGUCCGAGUAAGACUUUGUAUUCCCACAUAUAGGGCAUGGACAACACAUAAAACCAUUCUGCUUGUUUGCCUCAGCCACUUCGAGAAAAUUAUGCACGCCCUUAACGUACUCGGAGGUGUGUCUUUCACCGUACAUCCAUUGCCGGUUCAUCUGCGUGCAUUAUAUAUAAUUAUGUGUGUCAAAAACCAUUACAGAUUCACAUGGAUAGAUAAGUGAACAAAUUAAUAGAAGUUCAUCAUCACAUUAAAACCAAAGUACAUACAUAGUUCUCAUUGAACAACAUAUAGCUCUCGAGAGCAUCUAAUUAAACCAUACAUUGAAACUAUGUAAAACCUUUCAAUGCAACAACAAAUGUGAUCAUAAUCACAACCAAGGUAACAAUUGAUCCAACGGCAUAAUGAUACCAAGCCUCGGUAUGAAUGGCAUAUUUUCUAAUUUUUCUAAUCUUCAACCGCAUUGCGUCCAUCUUGAUCUUGUGAUCAUCGAUGACAUCCGCAACAUGCAACUCCAAUAUCAUCUUCUCCUUCUCAAUUUUUUUAUUUUUUCCUUCAAAUAAUUUUUUUCUUCUUCAACUAAAUUUAACCUCUCGACAAUAGGGUCGGUUGGAAUUUCCGGUUCAACUACCUCCUAGAUAAAUAAAAUCUAUGUCAACUUGAUGGGCAUAAUUGUCAUAAACAAUAAAUGAACCAAAUAGUUAUAAAAGAUAAUAUAUACCACAUCCGAAUCAUAGCCAGGACGAGAGCCGACGGGGGCGGAUACCAAAACCAUCGCACUAUAUAAUAACAAGCAAUAAUAAAAGUAAGAAAAUUAGACAAGUAUCUAUCUAAAGUAAGAAUUUUUUUCUUUUAGAAGAAGAUAAGAAUAAGAGGCUAACCACGGUGGUGCCGGCGACGAGAUCGGCGUGGGCGAUCGACGGCGAUGAAGAUGGGGACGGGACGUGACGGACCGCUAAUCCUAGACAAAUCUCGGGGAAAAUCGAGCUUGGAGGUCGAGCUUCGAGAGGAGAAAGCUUAACUAGUGUGGCUUGGGCAUUUCAUCGAACACCUCAUGUGCAUAGGAGGUGAGCUAGAGCACCACAAAGCUCUCCCCUCGCCGGCCAGAAAAAACAGAGCACUGUGGAGUGCUCUGCUCGCGGGUGAGGGGUAUAUAUAGGCAACUCAUUGGUCCCGGUUCAUGGCUGGAACCGGGACUAAAGGUACCCUUCUGUCCCGGUUCUAGGCACAAAUCGGGACCAAUGGCUAUGGGCCAGGAGCGAGGGCCAUUGGUCCUGGUUCGUGCCUAGAACCGGGAAAAAUGGGUCCACACGAACCGGGACAAAUGCAUCCCGAGGCCCGGCCGGCCCCGUGGGCGCACGAACCAGGACUUAUGCCCCCAUGGGUCCCGGUUUGUGACAGAACCGGGACUAAUGGGCUGGCCAGGCCCCAACCAAAGCCCUUUUUUCUACUAGUGUGUAGUCAUGGGAGCUUGCGGGUGUGGUGGCGUCGGCAGUAGGGCCGGCAUCGGCGUAAAGAGAGAGGCACCAUCAUUGUACUGCUGUAUGUAGGGGGGUGAUGGAGCGCCACAUGAUGCAUAAGGACUCGUGUUGUAGAUCGGUGGUGCAUAGGCGAGAGUAGUGUGGUACGCGGCUGUCGGCUGUCGGGGUGCGAGGACGGGCGCGCCGGUGUGAGGGCGAGCACCGGGCUGCCAGCCACCGGUAUAGGCAGGCGGGGCACCAUAUGGCGUAGGGAGGGGGCACCAGGGCAUAGGCCACGCCUGGACUAGCCCUGUCCAUGGAUCAGGAGAUGGGCGCCAUCCGGGCGGCGGCGCUGGUGCAGUUGAUGAAGCCGGGGGCGGUGGUGGUGCAGUUGGUGGAGCCGGGGGCGGAGCAGGAGCGGGCGCCGUGCGGAACUGCGGCGGCCUAGGGUUUUUGCCCCAGUAGUUGGGACUUGGACGCCAGCCAGAUGGUUGAGGAGGCGCUGUUGGUGCAGGUGGCGGUGGCGGCGUCGACGCAGGCGGGCGAGGAGACGCAGUGAAGACCUGAGGACGGGAGUCCUUCGUAGUUAGGGCACGAUCAGCCCAUUGGAGCAUCGAGCGAACCUCGGCGAAGGAGGGACGCGGACGCAUCAUAGGGAUGAAGGAGGCUUGCUUCUCGAACCACUCGCUGAGGCCGACGAGGAGGACGUUGAUCAGCUGGUGAUACGUCUCCAACGUAUCUAUAAUUUAUGAAGUAUUCAUGCUAUUAUAUUAUCCUUCUAGGAUGUUCUAUAUGCAUUUAUAUGCUAUUUUAUAUGAUUUUUGGGACUAACCUAUUAACCUAGAGCCCAGUGUCAGUUUCUGUUUUUUCCCUGUUUUUAAGUUUUGCAGAAAAGGAAAACCAAACAGAGUCCAAUUGACAUGCCAAUUUUUGAUGAUUUUUUCUGGACCAAAAGAAGCCCCCGGAGUAAAAGAGUUGGGCCAGGAGAGUCCCGGGCUGCCCACGAGGGUGAGGGGCGCACCCACCCCCCUGGGCGUGGGCCCUGCCUCGUGGACAACCCAGAGACCCCCCCCCCCCGACGUGAGACCUACGCCAAAAAAUCCUAUAAAUACUGAAACCUCCAGAAAAUUACCUAGAUCGGGAGUUCCGCCGCCGCAAGCCUCCGUAGCCACCAAAAACCAAUCGGGGCCCUGUUCCGGCACCCUGCCGGAGGGGGAUCCCUCACCGGUGGCCAUCUUCAUCAUUACGGCGCUCUCCAUGACGAGGAGGGAGUAGUUCACUGAUACGUCUCCAACGUAUCUAUAAUUUUUGAUUGCUCCAUGCUAUAUUAUAUUCUGUUUUGGACAUUAUUGGGCUUUGUUAUACACUUUUAUAUUAUUUUUGGGACUAACCUAUUAACCGGAGACCCAGCCCAGAAUUGUUGUUUUUUUUGCCUAUUUCAGAGUUUCACAGAAAAAGAAUAUCAAACGGAGUCCAAACGGAAUGAAACCUUCGGGAACGUGAUUUUCGGAAUGAACGUGAUCCAGAGGACUUGGACCCUACGUCAGGAAAGCAACCAGGAAGGCACGAGGUAGGGGGGCGCGCCCUCCACCCUCGUGUGGCUGAGGGUAUGUACCAGUAGCUAUGUGUUUGAUCUCUCUGUUAUUUGGGGACACAAGAGACUCUUUGUUAUUUGGUUGCAGGGUUGCUUGAGAGAGACCAUCUUCAUCCUACGCCUCCCACGGAUUGAUAAACCUUAGGUCAUCCACUUGAGGGAAAUUUUCUACUUUCCUACAAACCUCUGCACUUGGAGGCCCAACAACAUCUACAAGAAGAAGGUUGUGUAGUAGACAUCAAGCUCUUUUAUGGCGCCGUUGCCGGGGAGGUUAGUGCUUGAAGGUAUAUCUUUAGAUCUUGCAAUCGAAUCUUUUUGUUUCUUGUUUUAUCACUAGUUUAGUUUAUAAAAGAAAACUACAAAAAAAUGGAAUUAAGGGUGCCUCAUAUGCUUCAUCUUUUUAAUGUCUUUCGUGAAAAUGAUGGGAAGGAAAAUUGUGCUCAAGUACUAGAAGACGAAUUACAUAGAAUGCUUGGCAAAAACCGACGCAAACUACCAGAUAUGAAGCCAAAAACCUAAUUCCACCGCCGCAACCUUCUGUACCCGUGAGAUCCCAUCUUGGGGCCUUUUCCGGAGCUCCGCCGAAGGGGGCAUCGAUCACGGAGGGCUUCUACAUCAACACCAUAGCCUCUCCGAUGAUGUGUGAGUAGUUUACCUCAGACCUUCGGGUCCAUAGUUAUUUGCUAGAUGGCUUCUUCUCACCUUUUGGAUCUCAAUACAAUGUUCUCCCCCUCUCUUGUGGAGAUCUAUUCGAUGUAAUCUUAUUUGCGGUGUGUUUGUUGAGACCGAUGAAUUGUGGGUUUAUGAUCAAGUUUAUCUAUGAACAAUAUUUGAUUCUCCUCUGAAUUCUUUUAUGUAUGAUUGGUUAUCUUUGCAAGUCUCUUAGAAUUAUCAGUUUGGUUUGGCCUACUAGAUUGAUCUUUCUUGCAAUGGGAGAAGUGCUUAGCUUUGGGUUCAAUCUUGCGGUGUCCUUUCCCAGUGACAGUAGGGGCAGCAAGGCACGUAUUGUAUUGUUGCCAUCGAGGAUAACAAGAUGGGGUUUAUUUCAUAUUGCAUGAGUUUAUCCCUCUACAUCAUGUCAUCUUGCUUAAAGCGUUACUCUGUUCUUAUGAACUUAAUACUCUAGAUGCAUGCUGGAUAGCGGUCGAUGUGUGGAGUAAUAGUAGUAGAUGCAGGCAGGAGUCGGUCUACUUGUCUCGGACGUGAUGCCUAUAUACAUGAUCAUCUAGAUAUUCUCAUAACUAUGCUCAAUUCUGUCAAUUGCUCAACAGUAAUUUGUUCACCCACCGUAAUACUUAUGCUCUUGAGAGAAGCCACUAGUGAAACCUAUGGCCCCCGGGUCUAUUUUCCAUCAUAUUAAUCUCCCGACAACAAGCUAUUUCUUUUGCCGUUUAUUUUACUUUCUUUACUUUGCAUCUUUAUCAUAAAUAUACCAAAAAUAUUAUCUUAUCAUAUCUAUCAGAUCUCACUCUCGUAAGUGACCGUGUAGGGAUUGACAACCCCUUAUCGUGUUGGUUGCAAGGAUUUAUUUAUUUGUGUAGGUGCGAGGGACUCAUGCGUGGUCUCCUACUGGAUUGAUACCUUGGUUCUCAAAAUCUGAGGGAAAUACUUAUGCUACUUUGCUGCAUCACCCAUUCCUCUUCAAGGGAAAACCAACGCAGUGCUCAAGAGGUAGCAAGAAGGAUUUCUGGCGCCGUUGCCAGGGAGUCUACGCAAAAGUCAACAUACCAAGUACCCAUCACAAACCCUUAUCUCCCGCAUUACAUUAUUUGCCUUUUGCCUCUCGUUUUUCUCUCCCCCACUUUACCCUUGCCGUUUUAUUCGCCCUUUUCCGUUCGUCUUUUCGUUUGCCUUGAUGUCUUACUUGGCUCGUUUGCUCGUUUGGUUGAAAUAGUUGACUAUUUAUUCCUAAACAAGAGAACCUAAUAUCUAUGGAUCCUCAUCCGCUUGCCAAUCUUUUUAAGAGAUCCAAUUAUGAUGAACCAAUUCCUAGUGAUUUGGAUGCACUAGAUUAUCUUUAUAAGGUUUUGCUUGAAAUCCGUGAAUCUGAGAAUUGUGAUGAAGUACUUUAUGAAGUGAUUCACGAUAGAUAUUUGAAUAAAAAGCAUGAUUGCAAUGAUUUUAUUAUAAAUUGUAUUGGUGUAAAUUAUUCUAAUAAUAUGCAAAACCCUAAGCUUGGGGAUGCUAGUUUUGCUAUGUCCACUACUUGUUGCAAUGAUCAUGAUUGGGGUGAUUCUUCUUAUGAUCUUGAAAAUUUAUUUAAGCCCCAUGAUGAAUAUGAGAUUGAUAAUAGUGUUUGCAAUAAUAUUGAAAGUGGGUUUGGAAGAGUGUCAACUUUAGAUCCCACAUAUUUGGAGUAUGUUCAAUCUUAUGAUAUUUUUGAUAAAAGUGGGUCUGGAGAGGUCAUGACUUUAGUUAAUGAUAAUCCCACUAUUUUGGAAGAGUGUCAACUUCGCAUGCAUGUGGAUCAUGUUGAGAAUAUGUUAUGUGAUAGAUAUUUUUUUGAAUUUUCCUAUGAUCCUACAUGUAAUUAUUAUGAGAGAGGAAAAUAUGGUUGUAGAAGUUUUUACCUUACUAAAUUACCUCUCGUCAUGUUGAGAUUGCUAUCGUCUCUUUCUUCUUCCUCGCAUAUGCUAAUUUUUGCUUGCUAUGAUUUUUUUGCUUAUAAAAUGCCUAUGCAUAGGAAGUAUGUUAGACUUAGACGUGUUUAUCACGUGUUUUAUGAUGCUCUCUUUGUGCUUCAAUUCUUGUCUUUCAUGUGAGCAUCAUUAAAUUUAUCAUUGCCUAGCUAAAAGGCUUUAAAGAAAAGCGCUUGUUGGGAGACAACCCAAUAUUUAUCCUUGCUGUUUAGCAAAUAAAUAUUUGAUCUAGCCUCUGGUUAGAUGUGUUUUUAUGUUUUAAUUAGUGUUCGUGCCAAGUUAAACCUAUAGGAUCUUUUUGGAUGAUAGUUAUUUGAUCUUGCUGAAAAUUCCAGAAACUUUCUGUUCACGAAAAUUAUUGUUAAAAAUCACCAGAACGUGAUAAAAUAUUGAUUCCAAUUGCUGCUGAUCAAUAAACAAAUUUUCUAGGUCGUCCAAUUUUGGCUGAAUGUUUGGAGUUCCAGAAGUUUGCGUUAGUUACAGAUUACUACAGACUGUUCUGUUUUUGACAGAUUCUGUUUUUCAUGUGUUGUUUGCUUAUUUUGAUGAAUCUAUGGCUAGUAAAAUAGUUUAUAAACCAUACAGAAGUUGGAAUAAAGUAGGUUUAACAGCAAUAUAAAUAAAGAAUGAGUUCAUUACAGUACCUUGAAGUGGUCUUUUGUUUUCUUUCGCUAACAGAGCUCACGAGAUUUUCUGUUAAGUUUUGUGUUGUGAAGUUUUCAAGUUUUGGGUGAAAGAUUUGAUGGAUUAUGGAACAAGGAGUGGCAAGAGCCUAAUCUUGGGGAUUCCCAUGGAACCCCCAAGAUAAUCUAAGGACACCUAAAAGCCAAAGCAUGGGGAUGCCCCGGAAGGCAUCCCCUCUUUCGUCUACUUCCAUCGGUAACUUUACUUGGAGCUAUAUUUUUAUUCACCACAUGAUAUGUGUUUUGCUUGGAGCGUCUUGUAUUAUUUGAGUCUUUGCUUUCUAGUUUACCACAAUCAUCCUUGCUGUACACACCUUUUGAGAGAGUCACACUUGAUUCGGAAUUUAUUAGAAUACUCUAUGUGCUUCACUUAUAUUUUUUGAGCUAUAUAGUUUUGCUCUAGUGCUUCACUUAUAUCUUUUAGAGCACGGUGGUGGAUUUGUUUUAUAGAAACUAUUGAUCUCUCAUGCUUCACUUAUAUAAUUUUGAGAGUCUUAAAAUAGCAUGGCAAUUUGCUUUAAUUAAUAUCAUGAGAAAUUUGAUGCUUGAUAAUUGUUUUGAGAUAUAAAGAUAGUAAUAUCAUAGUUGUGCUAGUUGAGUAAUUGUGGAAUUGAAAAAUACAUGUGUUGGAGUUUGUGAUUCCUGUAGCAUGCACGUAUGGUGAACCGUUAUGUAAAGAAGUCGGAGCAUGAAGUAUUUGUUGAUUGUCUUCCUUUGUGUGGCGGUCGGGAUCGCGCGAUGGUUAACUCCUACCAACCCUUCCCCUAGGAGCAUGCGUAGUAGUACUUUGCUUCGAGGGCUAAUAAAUUUUUGCAAUAAGUAUAUGAGUUCUUUAUGACUAAUGUGAGUCCAUGGAUUAUACGCACACUUACCUUUCCUCAAUUUUCUAGCCUCAUCGGUACCGUGCAUUGCCCUUUCUCACCUUGAGAGUUGAUGCAAACUUCGCCGGUGCAUCCAAACCCCGUGAUAUGAUACGCUCUAUCACACAUAAACCUCCUUAUAUCUUCCUCAAAACAGCCACCAUACCUACCUAUCAUGGCAUUUCCAUAGCCAUUCCGAGAUAUAUUGCCAUGCAACCUUCCACCGUUUUGUUUAUCAUGACACACUCCAUCAUUGUCAUAUUGCUUUGCAUGAUCAUGUAGUUGACAUUGUAUUUGUGGCAAAGCCACCGUUCAUAAUUAUUUCAUACAUGUCACUCUUGAUUCAUUGCAUAUCCCGGUACACCACCGGAGGCAUUCAUAUAGAGUCAUAUUUUGUUCUAAGUAUUGAGUUGUAAUUCAUGAGUUGUAAGUAAAUAAAAGUGUGAUGAUCAUCAUUAUUAGAGCAUUGUCCCAAGUGAGGAAAGGAUGAUGGAGACUAUGAUUCCCCCACAAGUCGGGAUGAGACUCCGGACUAAAAAAAGAGGCCAUAAAAAAAGGGAGAAAAGGCCCAAAUAAAAAAAUGA